rnacentral:rRNA from 1 species
CAGUCGCCACGGUAAUACGGAGGGUGCAAGCGUUAAUCGGAAUUACUGGGCGUAAAGCGCACGCAGGCGGUCUGUCAAGUCAGAUGUGAAAUCCCCGGGCUUAACCUGGGAACUGCAUUUAAAACUGGCAGGCUAGAGUCUUGUAGAAGGGGGUAGAAUUCCAGGUGUAGCGGUGAAAUGCGUAGAGAUCUGGAGGAAUACCGGUGGCGAAGGCGGCCCCCUGGACAAAGACUGACGCUCAGGUGCGAAAGCGUGGGGAGCAAACAGGAUUAGAGACCCCGGUAGUCCCUGUCUCUUAUAC